AAGAAGUUAGUUUAAAUAAAACAUAAAUUUGUCAAAUUUAAAUUGCUUUACCACAAGCAUUUCUUU
rnacentral:tRNA from 1 species